rnacentral:lncRNA from 1 species
ACGUUUCCGCCAUCCUGGUUUGGGGGUGUGAAAGACUGGUAUCAGAGCAUUGUUUAUAGUGAACUAAGUAUAUCAAACCAUAUAAGAUAUACAACUAUAAAUACAAUGGGACAAAAAAUCUCUGACUAAAACAUUUCUUACAAAGUAUACUUUUAAAAUAUCAUGAUAUAUUUUUCAUAAAGUAUUAGUACAUACCUACAUAAUAGAACGGUGUCAUAACAAGAACAAUACAAAAGUAAUAAGAUAAGUUGAUCACUACGAGUAGGCCUAGGUAGUUAUGUAAUUAGAUCUAGGAUAGAUAUAUUCUGAUCAACUAUAUUUGUCCAAGAUGUGACUAACAUGUGCUUAAGAAUAGUCGUAGUGAAUGACAAGUCUAAAACUUACCAACACCCCAUACAAAGGAACUCUAGAACCAAACAUAAAUUUUAAAAUACUAUAGGGGUAUUUUAUGAUACCAUAGAGCCAUACACCUAUACCCCUUAUGUGCCUUUUAUACCCCUAUCGUUGUUCGGUCGGCAUGGCUGGAUUUCACCUACUAGGAGAUCCUUACUUUCCCGGUAGUGGGAAUGGUGGAUGGAUUGAGGAGUAGCCUGAGGAGCAGAUCGAGGCUGACGCACCAGCCGUUUUAAAAUACUAUAGGGGUAUUUUAUGAUACCAUAGAGCCAUACACCUAUACCCCUUAUGUGCCUUUUAUACCCCUAUCGUUGUUCGGUCG